AACAAGUCGCUCUCGUCUAGUGGUUUGCGUAUUAAUCAAUUUGUGCGACACGAGUUCGAUCGACUUUAAGAGCGGUGAAGAUAGAACAAAUUAUGUGACGGAAGCCGUCACAGUCGUCCUGACCAACUGUGACGAUAGCAAGUGCCGUCUGAGCUCUUUUUUUU
rnacentral:sRNA from 1 species